UUUAUUUAGAAGAGGACCAUCAUGAUAUACACAAGACAAAUUUGUUUGGAGUUAUUACUUUAUGUGAUCAUUCUAAUGGAAGCAGGGGAUACUACGAAAGAUAAAAAACUUGCGAAAGAAAUAAACAAAGCAUUUAAAGAUGUGGCAGAAAUAUGGAAGAAAUCUUAUGCUUCAGUUUUUCCCUACAAUGUUAGUUUGCAUGGAGGUUGGUAUCAGCUCAUUGAUAAGGUCGGACGUUUCAGCUGAAAUUAAA